rnacentral:lncRNA from 1 species
CAGCUGUUUGGUUAUAGAAACAAUGGUUUCCAGAGAAUUGGAAUCCUCCACAUCCUCACUUCCUAUCCCCACCCCUGCCCAGGAGGAUGGAAAAGUGCCAGCCAGAGGGGGACCAACGUCUGUCCAUCCUGCAGGAGAGAUUAGAAGCCAAGACAAUGUUGGGUCAGUGACUGGAAGGGCCAUACUUUAACCUGGACAGCUUAGCUAUGUGGAACUCUUGACGCCAAUUUAAGCAUAAACCUCAGAAACUGGAGAUGCCUCUCUCGUGAGGAUCUGGGUUCAAUUCCCACCUCCCACUUGGUAGUGGGAGUCACAACCAUUUCUAACUCUAGUCCCAAAGGACCUGAUGCCUUCUUCUGGCUGCUAAGAGAAUCGCAUGAAUGUGGUACACAUAUAUGCAGGCAAGACACCCAUUCACAGAACGUAAAAAUUAAACUAAGGGCUGGAGAGAUGGCUCAGCGGUUGAGAGCACCGACUCCUCUUCCAGAGGUCCUGAGUUCAAAUCCCAGCAACCACAUGGUGGCUCACAACCAUCUGUAAUGGGAUCAGAUGCCCUCUUCUGGUGUAUCUGAAGACAGUUACAGUGUACUUAUAUAUAAUAAAUAAAUACAUCUUGAAAAAAAAAAGUGUGAA